rnacentral:rRNA from 1 species
AUUGAACGCUGGCGGCAGGCCUAACACAUGCAAGUCGAACGAGUGGCGGACGGGUGAGUAAGGGCUGGGACACUGCCUGAUGGAGGGGGAUAACGAAUGGAAACGGUAGCUAAUACCGCAUACCAUCGGAUGUGCCCAGAUGGGAUUAGCUAUCAGGUGGGGGAAAGGCUCACCUAGGCGACGAGGACUAGCUGGUCUGAUAGGAUGACCAGCCACACUGGGACUGAGCCACGGUCCAGACUCCGACGGGAGGCAGCAGUGGGGAAGUUUGGACAAGGGGCGCGAGCCUGAUGCAGCCAUACCGCGUGUAUGAAGAAGGCCUUCGGGUUGUAAAGUCCUUUCAGCGGGGAGGCGUUACCCGCAGAAGAAGCACCGGCUAACUCCGUGCCAGCCGCCGCGGUAAUUC